rnacentral:rRNA from 1 species
ACCUGUGGCUGGGGGUGAAAGGCCAAUCAAACCGGGAGAUAGCUGGUUCUCCCCGAAAGCUAUUUAGGUAGCGCCUCGUGAACUCAUCUCCGGGGGUAGAGCACUGUUUCGGCUAGGGGGCCAUCCCGGCUUACCAACCCGAUGCAAACUGCGAAUACCGGAGAAUGUUAUCACGGGAGACACACGGCGGGUGCUAACGUCCGUCGUGAAGAGGGAAACAACCCAGACCGCCAGCUAAGGUCCCAAAGUCAUGGUUAAGUGGGAAACGAUGUGGGAAGGCCCAGACAGCCAGGAUGUUGGCUUAGAAGCAGCCAUCAUUUAAAGAAAGCGUAAUAGCUCACUGGUCGAGUCGGCCUGCGCGGAAGAUGUAACGGGGCUAAACCAUGCACCGAAGCUGCGGCAGCGACACUGUGUGUUGUUGGGUAGGGGAGCGUUCUGUAAGCCGUUGAAGGUGUGUCGUGAGGCAUGCUGGAGGUAUCAGAAGUGCGAAUGCUGACAUAAGUAACGAUAAAGCGGGUGAAAAGCCCGCUCGCCGGAAGACCAAGGGUUCCUGUCCAACGUUAAUCGGGGCAGGGUGAGUCGACCCCUAAGGCGAGGCCGAAAGGCGUAGUCGAUGGGAAACGGGUUAAUAUUCCCGUACUUGGUGUUACUGCGAAGGGGGGACGGAGAAGGCUAUGUUGGCCGGGCGACGGUAGUCCCGGUUUAAGCGUGUAGGUGUGUGUUCCAGGUAAAUCCGGUUCACUUUAACACUGAGGCGUGAUGACGAGGCACCACGGUGCUGAAGCAACAAAUGCCCUGCUUCCAGGAAAAGCCUCUAAGCAUCAGGUAACAUCAAAUCGUACCCCAAACCGACACAGGUGGUCAGGUAGAGAAUACCAAGGCGCUUGAGAGAACUCGGGUGAAGGAACUAGGCAAAAUGGUGCCGUAACUUCGGGAGAAGGCACGCUGACACGUAGGUGAAGUGAUUUACUCAUGGAGCUGAAGUCAGUCGAAGAUACCAGCUGGCUGCAACUGUUUAUUAAAAACACAGCACUGUGCAAACACGAAAGUGGACGUAUACGGUGUGACGCCUGCCCGGUGCCGGAAGGUUAAUUGAUGGGGUCAGCGCAAGCGAAGCUCCUGAUCGAAGCCCCGGUAAACGGCGGCCGUAACUAUAACGGUCCUAAGGUAGCGAAAUUCCUUGUCGGGUAAGUUCCGACCUGCACGAAUGGCGUAAUGAUGGCCAGGCUGUCUCCACCCGAGACUCAGUGAAAUUGAACUCGCUGUGAAGAUGCAGUGUACCCGCGGCAAGACGGAAAGACCCCGUGAACCUUUACUAUAGCUUGACACUGAACAUUGAGCCUUGAUGUGUAGGAUAGGUGGGAGGCUUUGAAGCGUGGACGCCAGUCUGCGUGGAGCCGACCUUGAAAUACCACCCUUUAAUGUUUGAUGUUCUAACGUGGACCCGUAAUCCGGGUUGCGGACAGUGUCUGGUGGGUAGUUUGACUGGGGCGGUCUCCUCCUAAAGAGUAACGGAGGAGCACGAAGGUUGGCUAAUCCUGGUCGGACAUCAGGAGGUUAGUGCAAUGGCAUAAGCCAGCUUGACUGCGAGCGUGACGGCGCGAGCAGGUGCGAAAGCAGGUCAUAGUGAUCCGGUGGUUCUGAAUGGAAGGGCCAUCGCUCAACGGAUAAAAGGUACUCCGGGGAUAACAGGCUGAUACCGCCCAAGAGUUCAUAUCGACGGCGGUGUUUGGCACCUCGAUGUCGGCUCAUCACAUCCUGGGGCUGAAGUAGGUCCCAAGGGUAUGGCUGUUCGCCAUUUAAAGUGGUACGCGAGCUGGGUUUAGAACGUCGUGAGACAGUUCGGUCC